rnacentral:rRNA from 1 species
CAGCCGCCGCGGUAAUACGUAGGGUGCAAGCGUUAAUCGGAAUUACUGGGCGUAAAGCGUGCGCAGGCGGUUAUAUAAGACAGUCGUGAAAUCCCCGGGCUCAACCUGGGAACUGCGAUUGUGACUGUAUGGCUAGAGUGUGUCAGAGGGGGGUAGAAUUCCACGUGUAGCAGUGAAAUGCGUAGAUAUGUGGAGGAAUACCGAUGGCGAAGGCAGCCCCCUGGGAUAACACUGACGCUUAUGCACGAAAGCGUGGGGAGCAAACAGGAUUAGAUACCCCAGUAGUCCCUGUCUCUUAUAC